ensembl:snRNA U6 U6 spliceosomal RNA
GUGCUUGCUUCUGUAGCACAUAUACUAAAAUUUGAAUGAUACAGAGAAGAUUAACAUGGCCCCUGUGCAAGGAUGACAUGCAAAUUCUUGAAUGUUCCAUAUUUUU